UUUCUCUUCUGUUCUCCUUUUUUUUUAUCAUCAGUCUUAUAGAUUAACGGGUUUUUGUUAGAUUAUUGAAAUUUUGAUGCCAGGGAGAGUUCCUUUUUUUAGCUUGAAUCAUGUUAACAUUGGAUUAUAUUUUAGGUUAUGCUUAAUGGGUUUGUUUUAUACUGGUGAAUUGCAUGUAAUGAUAACUGGGUUUUUCUGAAUUCGUAAUCUAAUCUAUGUAUGCUAUGCAGUACGUAGGUUGCUUACUGAUGCUCAUUUGUUAUGCAUCCUGUUGCAAGAUUUAGCGAUGACUCAUUGAAUUAACUUGAUGUUAUGAGUAAUUGAAGUUUAAUACGGCUAUGGCAUGAGUUGAUUGAAGUUAGUUUGUAGUAAAUUGAUGGCGUGGAGAUGGUAUUUACACGGGUUUUUUUAUACUAGAAAAUGAACGUGUCUCAUGUCUAAGUAAUUUGUAAAGCUUAAAAAGAUUGAAAAUGUUUGGUAUCAUUAGGAAUUUUUUCUUAAAUUUUGUGAUCGCCAGCUGCUUGGGUAAAGAAAGUGGGGUGGGGGAAAGAGUCUUAACAAAAUCCGUCAUUUUAUAUGUUUCUUUGGAAAAAGGAAAAUACAUGCUUGCCUCAUCAUGUUGUUAUAUGUGCUUGUAAUGCUUUAUUUGGAGGUUAUUAUAGAUUUGGAUGGGAUUUAAUGCAUCUCAGGUAACAAGCUUGUUAUGCUGUGAUCUUCAUUUUUCCUACUCAUCUUUUGCUUGUUCGUGUAAAUAAUAAUAAUAAUAA